CUACGGGUGGCUCCAGUGGGGAAUCUUAGACAAUGGGCGCAAGCCUGAUCUAGCCAUGCCGCGUGAGUGAUGAAGGCCUUAGGGUCGUAAAGCUCUUUCGCUGGGGAAGAUAAUGACGGUACCCAGUAAAGAAACCCCGGCUAACUCCGUGCCAGCAGCCGCGGUAAUACGGAGGGGGUUAGCGUUGUUCGGAAUUACUGGGCGUACAGCGCGCGUAGGCGGACUGUUAAGUCGGGGGUGAAAUCCCGGGGCUCAACCCCGGAACGGCCUUCGUUACUGGCAGUCUGGAGUUCGCGAGAGGUGAGUGGAAUUCCGAGUGUAGAGGUGAAAUUCGUAGAUAUUCGGAGGAACACCAGUGGCGAAGGCGGCUCACUGGCUCGAUACUGACGCUGAGGUGCGAAAGUGUGGGGGGCAAACAGGAUUAGAUACCCUUGUAGUC
rnacentral:rRNA from 1 species